rnacentral:rRNA from 1 species
GACAGAGGGUGCGAGCGUUAAUCGGAAUUACUGGGCGUAAAGCGCAAGUAGGCGGUUGGAUAAGUCGGAGGUUAAAGACCUGGGCUUAACCUUGGGGUGGCCUUGGAUACUGUCAGGCUGGAGUGGGACAGGGGUGGGGGGAAUUCCGGGUGUAGCGGUGAAAUGCGUAGAUAUCCGGAGGAACACCUGUGGCGAAGGCGCGCCACUGGGCCCUUACUGACGCUGAGAUGCGAAAGCUAGGGGAGCAAAUGGG